GACGAACGCUGGCGGCGUGCUUAACACAUGCAAGUCGAGCGGUAAGGCCCUUUCGGGGGUGCACGAGCGGCGAACGGGUGAGUAACACGUGGGUGACCUGCCCUCAGCUCUGGGAUAAGCCUGGGAAACUGGGUCUAAUACUGGAUAUGACUCCACGGUGCAUGUCGUGGGGUGGAAAGCCUUGUGCGGCUGAGGAUGGGCCCGCGGCCUAUCAGCUUGUUGGUGGGGUGAUGGCCUACCAAGGCGACGACGGGUAGCCGGCCUGAGAGGGCGACCGGCCACACUGGGACUGAGACACGGCCCAGACUCCUACGGGAGGCAGCAGUGGGGAAUCUUGCGCAAUGGGCGAAAGCCUGACGCAGCGACGCCGCGUGAGGGAUGACGGCCU
rnacentral:rRNA from 1 species